ACCAUAAAUAACCCCACAAGCACUACAAAGCACAAAUAAACCAUUUUUCCACUCUAGUAUAGGAGAUAGAAAAAGAUCAUAGAGCAAUAGAAAAAGUACCGCAAG
rnacentral:rRNA from 1 species